rnacentral:rRNA from 1 species
GACGUACCCUGGCGGCGUGCCUAAUACAUGCAAGUCGAGCGGACAGAAGGGAGCUUGCUCCCGGAAGUUAGCGGCGGACGGGUGAGUAACACGUGGGCAACCUACCCUGUAGAUCGGGAUAACAUCGAGAAAUCGGUGCUAAUACCGGAUAAUCAUUUGAAGUGCAUGCUUCGAAUGUAAAAGAUGGCUCCGGCUAUCACUACGGGAUGGGCCCGCGGCGCAUUAGCUAGUUGGUAAGGUAAUGGCUUACCAAGGCAACGAUGCGUAGCCGACCUGAGAGGGUGAUCGGCCACACUGGGACUGAGACACGGCCCAGACUCCUACGGGAGGCAGCAGUAGGGAAUCUUCCGCAAUGGACGAAAGUCUGACGGAGCAACGCCGCGUGAGUGAUGAAGGUUUUCGGAUCGUAAAGCUCUGUUGUUAGGGAAGAACAAGUGCCGUUUGAAUAAGGCGGCACCUUGACGGUACCUAACCAGAAAGCCACGGCUAACUACGUGCCAGCCGCCGCGGUAAAAC